AAAUAGUGAUAUUCGUACCAUAUAAGGAGCACACGACUUUUCUCUUGAUUGAAUCAAUCGUAAAUUCAUUAAUUGCUGACGUAAUUCAGCUUGUUUUUGUUCUAUAUCCUUCGAAUCAGGCGUUAAUAAAGCCAGUGGAGGAUUGGUAGCAAUGAACUUUUGUUGACCUUUCAAAAAGUUCCGUCCUUGAGCUGUUAAUUUAAUAGCAAGAUAAUGAUUUUGACCCUUAGCUCCUCUCGCUCCUUGAACAAGCUACAGAAAGAAGAUAAUUAAGAAAUUUUUUCCACCACUCAAACGAUUUACAUGAACCUUUACCGAAAACAGAAGUCUUUUACAUUCAAAGCCAGAAAACAUCAAAUAGGUGAAACGCACAAUUGAAAUGAUUGUUAUUACCUUUUCAAGAUGUCGACUUAGUAUAUCCUUGCUUCUACUACCAGUUGCAACUUUACAGGGAAGUGCUACACCCGUUCUCUCUUUACAUGCUAAAAUACAGUUCAUAAUAAUUUGAGCUUCUUCCCUGUGAGUAUAAAAUUAUGCAUGAAAUCAGGUGACAUAUUGUUCCUACGUAAAAUCGAGGCUAACAAUUUGAAGAUUCUUUUCUGACGGAUCUUUACAACAAUAUUGUAGAAAGACGUUUAAGAUUAUUCAUUGAUUUCAAAGCAACGUACAAGGCAACUUUCGCACAGACUCCUAAUGUUACGACAGAUUUUUCUAGAACAUCAGGAACUGUAUCUCCAAAAUAAUUUAGUAAAAAUUCUCG